rnacentral:rRNA from 1 species
AACCUGGGAACUGCAUUCGAAACUGGCAGGCUAGAGUCUUGUAGAGGGGGGUAGAAUUCCAGGUGUAGCGGUGAAAUGCGUAGAGAUCUGGAGGAAUACCGGUGGCGAAGGCGGCCCCCUGGACAAAGACUGACGCUCAGGUGCGAAAGCGUGGGGAGCAAACAGGAUUAGAUACCCUGGUAGUCCACGCCGUAAACGAUGUCGAUUUGGAGGUUGUGCCCUUGAGGCGUGGCUUCCGGAGCUAACGCGUUAAAUCGACCGCCUGGGGAGUACGGCCGCAAGGUUAAAACUCAAAUGAAUUGACGGGGGCCCGCACAAGCGGUGGAGCAUGUGGUUUAAUUCGAUGCAACGCGAAGAACCUUACCUGGUCUUGACAUCCACAGAACUUAGCAGAGAUGCUUUGGUGCCUUCGGGAACUGUGAGACAGGUGCUGCAUGGCUGUCGUCAGCUCGUGUUGUGAAAUGUUGGGUUAAGUCCCGCAACGAGCGCAACCCUUAUCCUUUGUUGCCAGCGGUCCGGCCGGGAACUCAAAGGAGACUGCCAGUGAUAAACUGGAGGAAGGUGGGGAUGACGUCAAGUCAUCAUGGCCCUUACGACCAGGGCUACACACGUGCUACAAUGGCAUAUACAAAGAGAAGCGACCUCGCGAGAGCAAGCGGACCUCAUAAAGUAUGUCGUAGUCCGGAUUGGAGUCUGCAACUCGACUCCAUGAAGUCGGAAUCGCUAGUAAUCGUAGAUCAGAAUGCUACGGUGAAUACGUUCCCGGGCCUUGUACACACCGCCCGUCACACCAUGGGAGUGGGUUGCAAAAGAAGUAGGUAGCUUAACCUUCGGGAGGGCGCUUACCACUUUGUGAUUCAUGACUGGGGUGAAGUCGUAACAAGGUAACCGUAGGGGAACCUGCGGUUG